UACGAAGGGUCCAAGCGUUAUCCGGAUUUAUUGGGUUUAAAGGGUGCGUAGGCGGCUUAUUAAGUCAGUGGUGAAAGCCCGUAGCUUAACUACGGAACUGCCAUUGAUACUGAUGAGCUUGAAUAUACUUGAGGUUGGCGGAAUGUGUCAUGUAGCGGUGAAAUGCUUAGAUAUGACACAGAACACCGAUUGCGAAGGCAGCUAGCUAAAGUACAAUUGACGCUGAUGCACGAAAGCGUGGGGAGCAAACAGGA
rnacentral:rRNA from 1 species